AGUGAACGCUGGCGGCGUGCCUAACACAUGCAAGUCGAGCGCGAAAGGGUAGCAAUACCUGAGUAAAGCGGCGAACGGGUGAGUAACACGUGGUUAACCUACCGAGAUGUGGGGAUACCCGGACGAAAUUCGGGACGAAUACCGCAUACAGUCUUCUGGACGUCGGUUCGGAAGAGCAAAGCCGGGGAGUCGUAAGACCUGGCGCAUUUCGAGGGGACCGCGGCCGAUUAGCUAGUUGGCGGGGUAANGGCCCACCAAGGCUUCGAUCGGUAGCCGGCCUGAGAGGGUGAACGGCCACACCGGAACUGAGACACGGUCCGGACUCCUACGGGAGGCAGCAGUGGGGAAUUUUGCGCAAUGGGCGAAAGCCUGACGCAGCAACGCCGCGUGGAGGAUGAAGGUUCUCUGAAU
rnacentral:rRNA from 1 species